GCCCCUGUAGCCCAACGGCAGAGGCAACGCGCUCAGAACGCGUCCAGUCCAGGUUCAAAUCCUGGUAGGGGCACCA
rnacentral:tRNA from 2 species